rnacentral:tRNA from 1 species
GGAGAGGUGUCCGAGUGGUCGAAGGAGCGCGACUGGAAAUCGCGUAAACUGUGAAAAACAGUUUCCGGGGUUCGAAUCCCCGUCUCUCCGCCA